AGUGAACGCUGGCGGUAGGCCUAACACAUGCAAGUCGAACGGCAGCACAGGAGAGCUUGCUCUCUAGGUGGCGAGUGGCGGACGGGUGAGGAAUACAUCGGAAUCUGCCCAGUCGUGGGGGAUAACGUAGGGAAACUUACGCUAAUACCGCAUACGACCUUCGGGUGAAAGAGGGGGAUCGCAAGACCUCUCGCGAUUGGAUGAGCCGAUGUCGGAUUAGCUAGUUAGCGGGGUAAUGGCCCACCAAGGCGACGAUCCGUAGCUGGUCUGAGAGGAUGAUCAGCCACACUGGAACUGAGACACGGUCCAGACUCCUACGGGAGGCAGCAGUGGGGAAUAUUGGACAAUGGGCGAAAGCCUGAUCCAGCCAUACCGCGUGGGUGAAGAAGGCCUUCGGGUUGUAAAGCCCUUUUGUUGGGAAAGAAAUCUUUCAGGCUAAUACCCUGGGAGGAUGACGGUACCCAAAGAAUAAGCACCGGCUAACUUCGUG
rnacentral:rRNA from 1 species